rnacentral:rRNA from 1 species
AGGAAAAGAAACUAACAAGGAUUCCCCUAGUAACUGCGAGUGAAGCGGGAAAAGCUCAAAUUUAAAAUCUGGUAGUCUCUGGCUGCCCGAGUUGUAAUCUGGAGAAGUGUUUUCUGUGCUGGGCCGUGUACAAGUCUCUUGGAAUAGAGCGUCAUAGAGGGUGAGAAUCCCGUCUUUGACACGGACAUCCAGUGCUCUGUGAUGCACUCUCAAAGAGUCGAGUUGUUUGGGAAUGCAGCUCAAAAUGGGUGGUAAAUUCCAUCUAAAGCUAAAUAUUGGCAAGAGACCGAUAGCGAACAAGUACCGUGAGGGAAAGAUGAAAAGAACUUUGGAAAGAGAGUUAAACAGUACGUGAAAUUGUUGAAAGGGAAACGCUUGAAGUCAGUCGCGUCUAGCAAGGAUCAGCCUUUCUCGGAAGGUGUAUUUCUUGCUUGACGGGUCAACAUCAAUUUUGAUUACUGGAAAAAGGCCAGAGGAAGGUGGCACCUUCGGGUGUGUUAUAGCCUUUGGUCAUAUACAGUAGUUGGGAUUGAGGAAUUCAGCAUGCCUUCAUGGCUGGGGUUCGCCCACAUUCAUGCUUAGGAUGUUGGCAUAAUGGCUUUAAGCGACCCGUCUUGAAACACGGACCAAGGAGUCUAACAUACCUGCGAGUGUUUGGGUGUAAAAACCCGAGCGCGUAAUGAAAGUGAAAGUUGAGACCCUUUUAAGGGGCAUCGACGCCCGGACCAGACCUUCUGUGACGGAUCUGCGGUAGAGCAUGUAUGUUGGGACCCGAAAGAUGGUGAACUAUGCCUGAAUAGGGUGAAGCCAGAGG